rnacentral:lncRNA from 1 species
GCCAGUCAGGGCAGGUCAGGAGUCCUCUCUCUUCUUUAAGGCUUGGAAUGUGUUCUCUCCGAGCUGGGAAGGAAUGGAAAGGAGGCUGGUGUCGCUGCCCCACCCCCUCCCUGGAGACCUUCCUUUGCCGGGGGGCAGACCCCUGCUGUGAGCAUCUCUAAGAGUCCCAGGGCCACCGGCAAGGGAAGGGGCGUGGGGGCAACCAUGAUGGCUGGGAACGGCAGCGUUUGGGGGUCCUUGGUCUUGAAACACUGAGCUGCACUCAUACUGAACACAGGAAGAAAUUCAGGAUAUCCGGCAUGUGAGAAUGUGCUCUGUUGUGGCUAGUCCUGUCACACCCAAACGGAGAUGGUACAGACCACGCCGGUUGCUGAACUUGAAAUGCUACAGGUUACCGAGACUAUUAGACGGACUGAUGAUCUCUCCUAAGUGUCAAGCCCAGGGCUUAAGGAAGACCUCUUUUGUGAGUUCGAUUUUUGUGUUUGCUAUUUUGUUUUUCACUUGUAUCAGUGAUACUGAAGAAACCAAACCCUGCCACGUCUUUCUCCGGGGCUUUAUGGUUCAAAGAGGGCAGUGGAAUCGAUGUUGGUAGAACCAUGUGAAGUGGAGAUAAUCCAGGACUGCUCCACAGUGUGUUUCGUGAUGAAGAACCCGAAGAGGACUACUCCCCGCUCCCAAG